GCAGGCUUAACACAUGCAAGUCGAGCGGGGAAAAGUAGCUUGCUACUUAACUUAGCGGCGGACGGGUGAGUAAUACUUAGGAAUCUGCCUAUUAGUGGGGGACAACAUUUCGAAAGGAAUGCUAAUACCGCAUACGUCCUACGGGAGAAAGCAGGGGAUCACUUGUGACCUUGCGCUAAUAGAUGAGCCUAAGUCGGAUUAGCUAGUUGGUGGGGUAAAGGCCUACCAAGGCGACGAUCUGUAGCGGGUCUGAGAGGAUGAUCCGCCACACUGGGACUGAGACACGGCCCAGACUCCUACGGGAGGCAGCAGUGGGGAAUAUUGGACAAUGGGGGGAACCCUGAUCCAGCCAUGCCGCGUGUGUGAAGAAGGCCUUUUGGUUGUAAAGCACUUUAAGCGAGGAGGAGGCUACUCUAGUUAAUACCUAGAGAUAGUGGACGUUACUCGCAGAAUAAGCACCGGCUAACUCUGUGCCAGCAGCCGCGGUAAUACAGAGGGUGCGAGCGUUAAUCGGAUUUACUGGGCGUAAAGCGUGCGUAGGUGGCCAAUUAAGUCAAAUGUGAAAUCCCCGAGCUUAACUUGGGAAUUGCAUUCGAUACUGGUUGGCUAGAGUAUGGGAGAGGAUGGUAGAAUUCCAGGUGUAGCGGUGAAAUGCGUAGAGAUCUGGAGGAAUACCGAUGGCGAAGGCAGCCAUCUGGCCUAAUACUGACACUGAGGUACGAAAGCAUGGGGAGCAAACAGGAUUAGAUACCCUGGUAGUCCAUGCCGUAAACGAUGUCUACUAGCCGUUGGGGUCUUUGAGACUUUAGUGGCGCAGCUAACGCGAUAAGUAGACCGCCUGGGGAGUACGGUCGCAAGACUAAAACUCAAAUGAAUUGACGG
rnacentral:rRNA from 1 species